UACGUAGGGUGCGAGCGUUGUCCGGAAUUAUUGGGCGUAAAGAGCUCGUAGGCGGUCUGGCGCGUCGGUCGUGAAAACUUGGGGCUUAACCCUGAGCUUGCGGUCGAUACGGGCAUGACUGGAGUUCGGUAGGGGAGACUGGAAUUCCUGGUGUAGCGGUGAAAUGCGCAGAUAUCAGGAGGAACACCGGUGGCGAAGGCGGGUCUCUGGGCCGAUACUGACGCUGAGGAGCGAAAGCGUGGGGAGCGAACAGG
rnacentral:rRNA from 1 species